rnacentral:rRNA from 1 species
AGUGAACGCUGGCGGUAGGCCUAACACAUGCAAGUCGAACGGCAGCACAGUAAGAGCUUGCUCUUACGGGUGGCGAGUGGCGGACGGGUGAGGAAUACAUCGGAAUCUACUUUUUCGUGGGGGAUAACGUAGGGAAACUUACGCUAAUACCGCAUACGACCUACGGGUGAAAGCAGGGGAUCUUCGGACCUUGCGCGAUUGAAUGAGCCGAUGUCGGAUCAGCUAGUUGGCGGGGUAAAGGCCCACCAAGGCGACGAUCCGUAGCUGGUCUGAGAGGAUGAUCAGCCACACUGGAACUGAGACACGGUCCAGACUCCUACGGGAGGCAGCAGUGGGGAAUAUUGGACAAUGGGCGCAAGCCUGAUCCAGCCAUACCGCGUGGGUGAAGAAGGCCUUCGGGUUGUAAAGCCCUUUUGUUGGGAAAGAAAAGCAGCAGGUUAAUACCCCGCUGUUCUGACGGUACCCAAAGAAUAAGCACCGGCUAACUUCGCG